GUAGUGGAGCAGCAUGUUAAACUGGUCUUGGUGGUUCAACUGAGUGAGUUAUGCACUGCAACAUCUCAAACUAGCUGCUAUGCUAGUCUUUUCAGCAGGACGAAGGGGCACGAAAGGAAGUAAGGAACUUGAAAUAAAAAGCAUUUUGUUCUCUUCCAGACAAGCUUGUUUUUAUCUGCACAUGUAGUUAUCAACUAUAAGAAUCCUACAGCCUGUGUCUGUCAGUGUGAGUGUUUGUAUAUCUGUGGUGAACAGCCAGCUGUAUUUAUCCCUCCGUUUUGAACCAGGUUGCUAAGAUAUAAAACCAAUGCAGGAUAAAUUAUGGCACCUCGUGCCCUUUGCCCUCUUGUUGAUUUUUCUCAUGUUGCCUUCGCUACCACCAACCUUUGCAUGCUAUAAAAAGUUUACAUUAGGAUGUUAAGAAAAUAUUGUACUAUAAAGACCGUGAUUGUAAAUUGUAACUAAAGUCUUCACACAAUCAGUUUAAAGGGAUAGUAUACUGAAAAAUGAUAAAUGUAAUUUACUCACCCUCAUGUCUUUCCAAACAUGUACAUUUUUUUAUUUUUAUUUUUUGCUGAACACAAAGGAAAAUACUUUGAAAAAUAUUGAUAACCAAACUGGUAACUUUCAUAGUAUUUUUGUUGAUAUUAUGGGAGUCGAUGGGACCCAAAACUAUUUAAAAAUAUCUUAUUUUUAAAUAAAUUUUUAUUUUAAGUUGACGUGAAAUCAAAUCUGACCCGAUGUACUUUCUCAAUGCACGUUCUUUGUGUCACUGAGCACGAUUCGUUAGUGCACACUAUUCCAAAUAAAUAAAUGUUUGUCUUAAUAUUUUAACAAAAUUUAACUUGCUCACCGCCUCUGAAAUGACUUGCCUUUUUGACUGAUGUCAAAAAUUUAUUUAAUUUUUCAGUGGUUUGUAACACACUUUUCACAAAUCAAAUCAAUAAUUAAAAUAGUAUGUUAUUUGGUUUCCUGUGAACCCCUUUAAAAAUAAUAAUAAUAAUAAUCUUUUAUUUCAGUUGGCAACAUUUCAAAUCUUUAUUUAGUUUAAAUUGAAGUACUAAAUAACUAAAAUGACCUGAAUUAUAACUAAUAAAUACAAAUUAAUAAAAACUAUAUAUUCAUACAAAAAAAAAUACUAAAACGUUCAAAUUAAAGUAAAAAAUAAAAUAUUAUAUAUAAAACCUAUAAGAAAUAUAUCAAUGUUACUAUUUUAAAACAAAAUAAUUCUUAAUUUAUUUUUUGUUUAUUCAAAAAAAAUCCACAAAUAUCAGCAAAUUGUUAAGAAAUAAGGAAUAUGAUCAGUUACAUAUGGAAAAAUUAGUCAUUAAAUGUUUAUAUAGUAAACCUUAAAAAAUAUUAAAAGUCUUGUACAUUACUUAAAAUCUCAGGGAAUUCCAGAAAGCUAUUUAGGUGGUUUAUCUGACAUAAAACUGGGAAACCCUGUUUAUAGAACACCAGUAACAUCUGGUUCUACAACUGAGUGCUUAUAGAUCACUGUAUAACGUUCAGGGUGACAGUGUUUAGAGAACUAUUUUUCAGUAAACUGUAGAAUACCGAGGACAUAUACCUGUGGGACACCUUAAAGCCUAUAUUUCUCUGCCCUUUUUUUUUUUUGCACAGCUUUUACCAUGUACCUCUCCCCUGCUCUCUCUAGAAACACAUGCUUUCUAAAUAAUCUCUAAAUAGUUAUAUAGAAAUAAUUAUGAUUUUAGAACAUCCCAGGAAACUGAGUAUAUGUAUCAAUUUUAUAUUCAAAAAUUCAUAAAACAAAGAUAAAGUUUUAUUUUUCUAAGAGUUCAUAGUAAUUUAUGAGAGUAAAGAGAAGUAAUAUCUAUAUAGAACCCUAAUAUAUUAUAGUGCCAUUUACCUCAUAAGCCUAAAUUGCAGUCCUGUCUCUUAUGCAUAUAUGUUGUUGUACCUUUAACCUGAAUGUUUAUGGACGUAUUUCCAAUAAACUCUAUCCAGCUGUUGUGAUGAUGCUCUGAAAGUGAUUGUCUGUGUUUUGCAUUUGUAAUGCCAUCAACAGGCUUGAAUGUUCCUGCUCUAUUCUAUUUAUAGGUUAAGUUAACUAUGUUGAGUUAACUAAGUCUGAGUUCAAAACGUAAAUUGGAAACCACAGUUAUGUUUGUAUUUUUUUAAAUAUAGAAUCUGAAAUUGUUGGACAUAUCAGUUUGUAAAAAUAAAUGACUUGAUAAAUGUU